GGCGUCGAGCGGCGGACGGGUGAGUAAUGCCUAGGAAAUUGCCCUGAUGUGGGGGAUAACCAUUGGAAACGAUGGCUAAUACCGCAUGAUGCCUACGGGCCAAAGAGGGGGACCUUCGGGCCUCUCGCGUCAGGAUAUGCCUAGGUGGGAUUAGCUAGUUGGUGAGGUAAGGGCUCACCAAGGCGACGAUCCCUAGCUGGUCUGAGAGGAUGAUCAGCCACACUGGAACUGAGACACGGUCCAGACUCCUACGGGAGGCAGCAGUGGGGAAUAUUGCACAAUGGGCGCAAGCCUGAUGCAGCCAUGCCGCGUGUGUGAAGAAGGCCUUCGGGUUGUAAAGCACUUUCAGUCGUGAGGAAGGUAGUGUAGUUAAUAGCUGCAUUAUUUGACGUUAGCGACAGAAGAAGCACCGGCUAACUCCGUGCCAGCAGCCGCGGUAAUACGGAGGGUGCGAGCGUUAAUCGGAAUUACUGGGCGUAAAGCGCAUGCAGGUGGUUUGUUAAGUCAGAUGUGAAAGCCCGGGGCUCAACCUCGGAAUUGCAUUUGAAACUGGCAGACUAGAGUACUGUAGAGGGGGGUAGAAUUUCAGGUGUAGCGGUGAAAUGCGUAGAGAUCUGAAGGAAUACCGGUGGCGAAGGCGGCCCCCUGGACAGAUACUGACACUCAGAUGCGAAAGCGUGGGGAGCAAACAGGAUUAGAUACCCUGGUAGUCCACGCCGUAAACGAUGUCUACUUGGAGGUUGUGGCCUUGAGCCGUGGCUUUCGGAGCUAACGCGUUAAGUAGACCGCCUGGGGAGUACGGUCGCAAGAUUAAAACUCAAAUGAAUUGACGGGGGCCCGCACAAGCGGUGGAGCAUGUGGUUUAAUUCGAUGCAACGCGAAGAACCUUACCUACUCUUGACAUCCAGAGAACUUUCCAGAGAUGGAUUGGUGCCUUCGGGAACUCUGAGACAGGUGCUGCAUGGCUGUCGUCAGCUCGUGUUGUGAAAUGUUGGGUUAAGUCCCGCAACGAGCGCAACCCUUAUCCUUGUUUGCCAGCGAGUAAUGUCGGGAACUCCAGGGAGACUGCCGGUGAUAAACCGGAGGAAGGUGGGGACGACGUCAAGUCAUCAUGGCCCUUACGAGUAGGGCUACACACGUGCUACAAUGGCGCAUACAGAGGGCGGC
rnacentral:rRNA from 1 species